CAGCUCGAUUCUGAGCAAAGUAAACUCUCGUAGCAUUUGCUCAAAUUGGUAUGAAUAAAACUUUACUUUACUCAGCUUGGACUGUAGCAAGUUCGAAAUUCGAACAUAGCUUUUGCUCCGUCAAUUAUUUGUCAACAUCAUAAUUUUCGGGUAGUAAAAAAUUUUAAGUGGAAUCAAAAAAAUUGUUUUAAUUAUUUCGUGAAGGAAAAAGAUAUUUGACCCAAACUCUAUCGAACUAAUCACUAACAACCGUCAACAACUACACAUACAGUAAGAAAUCAUGCCGUGACAACCGGAGGUUGUAUUUUCUAAUUUAAGUACGAUUUACACGAUACGUCAGGCUUCUGUCAAAGUCAAAGGAACGUCAACAUUAGUUACAUGCAGUUAAAUGGAUGUAUUCACACAACAUCAACGGCACGAAUGUUUCAAGGUACGGAACGUGUAAAUGGUUAAAAGAGAAACGCAUUCAACUUAUCCUAGCGGAACGAUGACGUGACUUUGACGAUGUGUACACAAGACACAGUUGACGGUGCUAGGUGUUGGAUUAAGUCGUGGUAGACACGUUGAUUUAAUGCAUUUAGUACGCUCCAUUCGUUGGGCAGUAAAUGGAAAAGCAGCAUCCCAGACCUAAACCGAAUUGGCUUAAAAGUGCAGUUAAGUAGUGAUGAAAGAUAAGGCACGAUAUAACGGAACAGCAGCAUCAAUUUCAUCACCAAGGACUGUUAUGACACCUACUGGCUAGAGCAUCAAUAGGGAAAAACAACUGGUGCAGGAUAGUCCCAGUAUUUAUCGUGGAAGUGCCCCAUACAAUGCACAUGUAACAACGUUUAGAUUGUUUGUUUUUCUUGCGGUGCAAUACAAUCAUUGAUUAUAUUUAACAUAACGCUAUGUGCAUCCUGGACGAUUACUGGUGGAACCUGUACUGCUGCUAUACGCAUAACUGUCCCAUGUGUAUAGGAAAUCUC